rnacentral:rRNA from 1 species
UACGUAGGAGGCAAGCGUUGUCCGGAAUUACUGGGCGUAAAGCGCGUGUAGGUGGUGGGACAAGUCUGCUGUGAAAGCGCCUGGCUUAACCGGGCGAGGUCGGCGGAAACUGUCCGACUAGAGGACGGUAGAGGGGGGUGGAAUUCCCGGUGUAGUGGUGAAAUGCGUAGAUAUCGGGAGGAACACCUGUGGCGAAAGCGGCUCUCUGGACCACAACUGACGCUGAGGCGCGAAAGCUAGGGGAGCAAACAGG